rnacentral:rRNA from 1 species
AUUGAACGCUGGCGGCAGGCCUAACACAUGCAAGUCGAGCGGAUGAAGGGAGAUUGCUCCUGGAUUCAGCUGCCGACGGGCGAGUGAUGCCUAGGUAUCUGCCUGGCAGUGGGGGAUAAGGUCCGGAAACGGGCGCUAAUCCCGCAUACGUCAUGAGGGUGAAAGGGGGGGAUCUUCGGACAUCACGCUUUCAGCUGUGCCUAGGUCGGAUUAGCUAGUUGGUGGGGUAAAGGCCUACCAAGGCGACGAUCCGUAACUGGUCUGAGAGGAUGAUCAGUCACACUGGAACUGAGACACGGUCCAGACUCCUACGGGAGGCAGCAGUGGGGAAUAUUGGACAAAGGGCGAAAGCCUGAUCCAGCCAUGCCGCGUGUGUGAAGAAGGUCUUCGGAUUGUAAAGCUCUUUUAGUUGGGAAGAAGAGCAGUAAGUUAAUACCUUGCUGUUUUGACGUUACCAACAGAAUAAGCACCGGCUAACUUCGUG